rnacentral:rRNA from 1 species
UACGGGGGGAGCAAGCGUUGUUCGGAUUUACUGGGCGUAAAGCGCAUGUAGGCGGCAGCGCAAGUCGGGCGUGAAAUCCCACGGCUCAACCGUGGAAGUGCACUCGAAACUGCGCAGCUAGAGUCCUGGAGAGGAAGGUGGAAUGCUUGGUGUAGAGGUGAAAUUCGUAGAUAUCAAGCGGAACACCGGUGGCGAAGGCGGCCUUCUGGACAGUGACUGACGCUGAGAUGCGAAAGCGUGGGGAGCAAACAGG